rnacentral:rRNA from 1 species
CCUACGGGUGGCUGCAGUGGGGAAUAUUGCACAAUGGGCGCAAGCCUGAUGCAGCCAUGCCGCGUGUGUGAAGAAGGCCUUCGGGUUGUAAAGCACUUUCAGCGGGGAGGAAGGCGGUGAGGUUAAUAACCUCAUCGAUUGACGUUACCCGCAGAAGAAGCACCGGCUAACUCCGUGCCAGCAGCCGCGGUAAUACGGAGGGUGCAAGCGUUAAUCGGAAUUACUGGGCGUAAAGCGCACGCAGGCGGUCUGUCAAGUCGGAUGUGAAAUCCCCGGGCUCAACCUGGGAACUGCAUUCGAAGCUGGCAGGCUAGAGUCUUGUAGAGGGGGGUAGAAUUCCAGGUGUAGCGGUGAAAUGCGUAGAGAUCUGGAGGAAUACCGGUGGCGAAGGCGGCCCCCUGGACAAAGACUGACGCUCAGGUGCGAAAGCGUGGGGAGCAAACAGGAUUAGAUACCCGUGUAGUC